GACGAACGCUGGCGGCGUGCUUAACACACGCAAGUCGAACGGUAAGGCCCUUCGGGGUACACGAGUGGCGAACGGGUGAGUAACACGUGGGUGAUCUGCCCUGCACUUCGGGAUAAGCCUGGGAAACUGGGUCUAAUACCGGAUAGGACUCCUGCCUGCAUGGGUGGGGGUGGAAAGCUUUUGCGGUGUGGGAUGGGCCCGAGGCCUAUCAGCUUGUUGGUGGGGUGAUGGCCUACCAAGGCGACGACGGGUAGCCGGCCUGAGAGGGUGACCGGCAACACUGGGACUGAGAUACGGCCCAGACUCCUACGGGAGGCAGCAGUGGGGAAUAUUGCACAAUGGGCGCAAGCCUGAUGCAGCGACGCCGCGUGAGGGAUGACGGCCUUCGGGCUGUAAACCUCUUUCAGCACAGACGAAGCGCAAGUGACGGUAUGUGCAGAAGAAGGACCGGCCAACUACGUGCCAGCCGCCGCGGUAA
rnacentral:rRNA from 1 species